rnacentral:rRNA from 1 species
GACGAACGCUGGCGGCGUGCUUAACACAUGCAAGUCGAACGGAAAGGCCCUGCUUUUGUUGGGUUCUCGAGUUGCGAACGUGUGUGUAACACGUGAGUAACCUGCCCUUGACUUUGGGAUAUCUUCAGGAAACUUGGGCUAAUACCGGAUAUGAUCUCCUGCUGCUUGGUGGUGGUUGGUAAGUUUCGGCGGUUGGGGAUGGACUCGCGGCUUAUCAGCUUGUUGGUGGUGUAGUGGCUUACCAAGGGUUUGACGGGUAGCCGGCCUGAGAGGGUGACCGGGCACAAUGGGACUGAGAGACGGCCCAGAAUGCAACGGGAGGCAGCAGUGGGGAAUAUUGCAGAAUGGGGGGAAGCCUGAUGCAGAAAAGCGGCGUGCGGGAAGAAGGGCAUCGGGUUGUAAAAAGAUUUGGAAUGUGAAGAAGAGAGAGUGACGGUAAUGGGUAAAGAAGCAACGGCUAACUACGUG